GCGCCCGUAGCUCAGCGGAACAGAGCGUCGGACUUCGAAUCCGAUGGUCGUGGGUUCGAAUCCCACCGGGCGCGCCA
rnacentral:tRNA from 1 species